rnacentral:misc_RNA from 1 species
AGUGAGGAUCGCCAUGUUAGAUUGAAAAGCCUGAGUAUGGACCCUUGGAGGAGUGCCCAGGACGUGUUACGGUGUGACCUGUGUGAGACCCCUGUCCCCCCUUAUUACUGUGACCUGUGUAGCAUCAACCUCUGUAAGAAAUGCGCCGGGGAACAUCUACUGGACGAAGCCAAAGAACACAAGGUGGUGCCCAUCAAACAGCGAAGAUUUACCUCCAGCUUUCCAAAAUGUCCAAAACAUUCGACGAAGCAUUGUGAGCUCCACUGUGAGCAGUGUGAUGUUGCUAUUUGUGUGCAGUGUGCCUCUGAUACAAAACACAGAGGUCACGAGUUUGUGGACAUGGUGAAAGCACUCCAUACUAAGAAAGAAGUCUUGCGGAGAGAUUUUCAAGAACUAGAGAAAUUGAUUUAUCCAAAAUAUCAAGAGAUUGCCUCGGAUAUUCCCAUUCAGAAAGCUGAUCUGAAGAAGAACUCACAGCAGUUGACAACUGCUAUCAUCAAACACGGAGAGGACCUGCAGAAAGAAAUAGAAACCAUUAUCAAGACACUAAAAUCUAAUCUUGAUGAAAUGGAUUCCAAACAUUUGGACCUCCUCAAUAAACAGGAAGGGGAAAUCAAACAAAGAAUUAAUGAUAUUGAACAAAGCAUGGCUACUCUCAAAACACUAAUCGACUCCAGUGAUGUCAGUCUAGUCUCCACGUACAAAUCAAGAAAUGCAGAAUUCAGAAGGUUGCCUCCAAAACUCAAGGUAUCCUUACCAAACUUUACGCCUCAGAAGAUCAACACAGAACAAUUCUAUAAACAAUUUGGAUCACUCUCAGCACUUUUAGUCUCAAAAGAAGCCCAAAGUUUGGAGUCCCCAGAAGCUGUCGCUCACUCUGACAGACCAAUGCUUGAUGAACCAAAGACCCUGGUAGCAAUAGACACGGGAUAUGGCUAUCUGGCCAGUGUGUGUUGUCUAAGUGAUGACAAAAUAUGGCACAGCGGUACAGACAAAGUCAUGAAGCUCUACAGUCUCAAGGGAGAGUUACAAAAGUCGAUUAAUACAAAAUCCGUGAACUGGCCAUCAGACAUAGCAGUGACAAGGAAUGGUGAUCUAGUCUAUGCUGAUUACUUGGAUGGAAGUUUGAAUUUAGUAAAAAAAACAAAGCAUUCAAUUCAAUGGCGAAGGUCAGCCAUUGUUCUCAUCUGGUCGACACACAAAAUACAUCAAUGAAAAUAAGAACUUAGACAUUUGUGUGGCGGACUAUGCAGCCGGUUCAGUAGUGGUAGUCAAUCGGGCCGGAAAAUUACGGUUUACAUACAAAGGGCAUUCUUCAGCUGCUAAGAAAUCGUUUCAACCACGCGGCAUUACCUCUGACAGCCAGAGUCGGAUCCUGACAGCAGACUGUGAGAACGAUUGUAUACACAUCCUGGAUCAGGACGGACAGUUCCUCCGCUACAUUGACAACUGUGAUUUGCAUGGUCCAUGGGGUUUAUGUGUGGACUCCAAAGACAAUCUUUUUGUGGCUGAAUACGAAACAUCGAAAUUGAAACAAAUUCAAUAUUACACGUAAAUCUGACAAUUUAACGCAACCAACCAAGCACAAAAAAAAGAAGAUCGCAUGUUAUGAUGAUCACUUGAAAUAAAAAAAAUAAUAUGAAUUUUUCAUGAAGGCAUUGAUGUAAUAUAUUUUAUUAAAUCACAAAUUAAUAAAGGAUGACUCAUGGUUUGCGAUGGUAUACAG